rnacentral:rRNA from 1 species
CCUACGGGAGGCUGCAGUCGAGAAUUAUUCACAAUGGGGGAAACCCUGAUGGUGCGACGCCGCGUGGGGGAAUGAAGGUCUUCGGAUUGUAAACCCCUGUCAUGUGGGAGCAAAUUAAAAAGAUAGUACCACAAGAGGAAGAGACGGCUAACUCUGUGCCAGCAGCCGCGGUAAUACCGAGGUCUCAAGCGUUGUUCGGAAUCACUGGGCGUAAAGCGUGCGUAGGCUGUUUCGUAAGUCGUGUGUGAAAGGGGCGGGGUCAACCCGCGGACGGCACAUGAUACUGCGAGACUGGAGUAAUGGAGGGGGAACCGGAAUUCUUGGUGUAGCAGUGAAAUGCGUAGAUAUCGAGAGGAACACUCGUGGUGAAGGCGGGUUCCUGGACAUUAACUGACGCUGAGGCACGAAGGCCAGGGGAGCGAAAGGGAUUAGAUACCCUGGUAGUC